UCCCUGGGGGUCCAGUGAUUAAAACUCUGCACUUCCAAUGCAGGGGAUACAGGUUUAACUCCUGGCUGGGGAA
rnacentral:tRNA from 1 species